rnacentral:rRNA from 1 species
AACGAACGCUGGCGGCGUGCCUAAUACAUGCAAGUCGAGCGAGAAAGCACCUUCGGGUGUGUGUAAAGUGGCAAACGGGUGAGUAAGACAUAGGUAACCUACCUUUGAGCGGGGGAUAACCUUCCGAAAGGAGGGCUAAUACCGCAUAUGACCAAAGUCACUACGGUGACAGAGGUAGAAGAUGGCCUCUACUUGUAAGCUAUCACUUAGAGAUGGGCUUAUGUGCCAUUAGCCUGUUGGUGGGGUAACGGCUCACCAAAGCGACGAUGGCUAGCUGAUCUGAGAGGACGGUCAGCCACACUGGAACGGGGAAACGGGCCAGACUCCUACGGGAGGCAGCAGUAGGGAAUAUUGCGCAAUGGGGGAAACCCUGACGCAGCGACGCCGCGUGGGUGAUGAAGGCCUUCGGGUUGUAAAGCCCUGUCGGGAGGGAAGAAAAACGCUAUGGCUAAUAUCCAUGGCGCUUGACGGUACCUCUAAAGGAAGCACCGGCUAACUACGUGCCAGCCGCCGCGGUAA